rnacentral:ncRNA from 1 species
CCUGCUGUCUCACCAGCAGUUCCCUACCCGACUGUGUGUUGAGAGUAAUUUCAGGGUGCAAAGCGUCGGGGACAACGUAGCCACGGAUUAUCCGUAAGAGCGAGCCGCGAGGCUCAAUCCGAAACUGCCAGCCGCAGGCGGUGAAGGCG